AUGAAGAAAAUUAACACCUGGGUACUGAGGGAGGGGCCAGGAAGAGGCUAGGAGAGAGCAGGAAGGGGAGUGGCUUGCUGAUGUAGCAGUGAUAAAGGGAUUUUUUUCUAAUUCAUUGAACAAAGUUGAUUAUGCUUCUUAGAGAAGAAACUGUUUAAAUAUGACUAUAUUUUCAGGUUUGAAAUCUGAAUCUUCAGUGAAAAGAAUAAUGAAGCCCUUGAAUGUUUUAUUGGUGGUUCUAUGGCUUCAGUUGAACAGGGUGAGCAGCCAGCAGAAGGUGGAGCAGCAUCCUGAAUCCCUCGGGGUUCUGGAGGGAGCCACGGCCUCUCUCAACUGCACUUUCAGUGACAGCAGUUCUCAGUACUUCUUUUGGUACAAACAGCAUUCUGGGGAACGCCCUGAGUUUCUGAUGUCCAUAUUCUCCAGUGGUGACAAAGAAGAAGGAAGAUUCAGAGCUCAUCUCGAUAAAGCCAGCCGGCACCUUUCCCUGCACAUCAGAGGCUCCCAGCCCAGUGACUCUGCUGUCUACCUCUGUGCAGUGAGCACACAGUGCUCCCCAGGCACCUGCACUCUGGACACAAAAUCAGCAGGUCCCAACAAGACCUGA